rnacentral:rRNA from 1 species
UACGUAGGGUGCAAGCGUUAAUCGGAAUUACUGGGCGUAAAGCGUGCGCAGGCGGUCAUGUAAGACAGGUGUGAAAUCCCCGGGCUCAACCUGGGAACUGCAUUUGUGACUGCAUCGCUGGAGUGCGGCAGAGGGGGAUGGAAUUCCGCGUGUAGCAGUGAAAUGCGUAGAUAUGCGGAGGAACACCGAUGGCGAAGGCAAUCCCCUGGGCCUGCACUGACGCUCAUGCACGAAAGCGUGGGGAGCAAACAGG